rnacentral:rRNA from 1 species
UACGGAGGGGGCUAGCGUUGUUCGGAAUUACUGGGCGUAAAGCGCACGUAGGCGGCUUUGUAAGUUAGAGGUGAAAGCCCGGGGCUCAACUCCGGAACUGCCUUUAAGACUGCAUCGCUAGAAUUGUGGAGAGGUAAGUGGAAUUCCGAGUGUAGAGGUGAAAUUCGUAGAUAUUCGGAAGAACACCAGUGGCGAAGGCGACUUACUGGACACAUAUUGACGCCGAUGG